AUUGAACGCUGGCGGCAGGCUUAACACAUGCAAGUCGAGCGGAGCGAGGGUGCUUGCACCUUAGCUUAGCGGCGGACGGGUGAGUAAUGCUUAGGAAUCUACCUAUUAGUGGGGGACAACAUUCCGAAAGGAAUGCUAAUACCGCAUACGCCCUACGGGGGAAAGCAGGGGAUCUUCGGACCUUGCGCUAAUAGAUGAGCCUAAGUCGGAUUAGCUAGUUGGUGGGGUAAAGGCCUACCAAGGCGACGAUCUGUAGCGGGUCUGAGAGGAUGAUCCGCCAAACUGGGACUGAGACACGGCCCAGACUCCUACGGGAGGCAGCAGUGGGGAAUAUUGGACAAUGGGCGGAAGCCUGAUCCAGCCAUGCCGCGUGUGUGAAGAAGGCCUUUUGGUUGUAAAGCACUUUAAGCGAGGAGGAGGCUCUUAAGGUUAAUACCCUUGAUGAGUGGACGUUACUCGCAGAAUAAGCACCGGCUAACUCUGUGCCAGCCGCCGCGGUAACAC
rnacentral:rRNA from 1 species